rnacentral:rRNA from 1 species
AGGAGGUGGAUAUUCACAGACAACCAGGAGGUUGGCUUAGAAGCAGCCAUACCUUGAAAGAGUGCGUAAUAGCUCACUGGUCGAGAGUAUCUGCGCCGAAGAUAUAACGGGGCUAAGACAUGAACCGAAGCCGCGGAAGCGUGGUAACACGUUUGGUAGGAGAGCGUUCUGUAGGCCGUAGAAGGUGUCCUGAAAGGGAUGCUGGAGGUAUCAGAAGUGAGAAUGCAGGAAUGAGUAGCGAGAAGGAGGGCGAGAAUCCCUCCGGCCGGAAGUCCAAGGUUUCCAGGGGAAGGUUUGUCCGCCCUGGGGGAGUCGGGACCUAAGCAUAAGCAGAGCUGCGAAGGCGAAUGGAAAACAGGUUAAUAUUCCUGUACCGCUGUGUACUGACUGAGAGAUGGAGUGACGCAGGAAGGUAUGCGGGAAGGCUGACGGAAUAGCCUUUCUAAGGGUGAAGCGUGGACAUAUAGGCAAAUCCGUAUGUUUAAACGUGAGGCCUGACGGGUAAGUGCCAUAGGGCAUAAGCCGCAGAUCCUACACUGCCGGGAAAAACUUCUAUUUAGGGAAGCAGCGCCCGUACUGUAAACCGACACAGGUGGACAGAGUGAGAAACUUAAGGCCGACAGGAUAACUCUAGCUAAGGAACUCUGCAAAAUAGCCCCGUAACUUCGGGAGAAGGGGUGCCUAUAUUACUUGAGAAGAGAAACACUUCAAGGGGAAAUAGGUCGCAGUGAAGAGUCUCAAGCAACUGUUUACCAAAAACACAGGUCUAUGCUAAGCUGAAAGGCGACGUAUAUGGGCUGACACCUGCCCAGUGCCGGAAGGUUAAGAGGAGGAUUGAGAGAUCCGAAUUGAAGCCCCGGUGAACGGCGGCCGUAACUAUAACGGUCCUAAGGUAGCGAAAUUCCUUGUCGGGUAAGUUCCGACCUGCACGAAUGGUGAAAUGAUUUGGGAGCUGUCUUGGCCGGAGACCUGGUGAAGUUGUAAUGCCGGUGAAGAUACCGGUUACCUGCAGUAGGACGGAAAGACCCCGUGGAGCUUUACUGUAGCCUGGCAUUGGGUUUCGGCAAUGUGUGUAUAGGAUAGCUGGGAGGCUAAGAAGAUAUGGCGUCAGCUGUAUUGGAGCCGCUGUUGGAAUACCAGCCACGCAUUGUUGGGAUUCUAAUCUCAAGAGAUGGGAGACAGUGCUAGGUGGGCAGUUUGACUGGGGCGGUCGCCUCCAAAAGAGUAACGGAGGCGUUCAAAGGUUCCCUCAGGCUGGAUGGAAAUCAGCCGGAGAGUGCAAACGCAUAAGGGAGCUUGACUGCGAGACUGACGGGUCGAGCAGGCACGAAAGUGGGAGUUAGUGAUCCGGCGGUUCUGAAUGGAAAGGCCGUCGCUCAACGGAUAAAAGCUACCCCGGGGAUAACAGGCUGAUACUUCCCAAGAGUCCAUAUCGACGGAAGUGUUUGGCACCUCGAUGUCGGCUCGUCUCAUCCUGGGGCUGGAGAAGGUCCCAAGGGUUGGGCUGUUCGCCCAUUAAAGAGGCACGCGAGCUGGGUUCAGAACGUCGUGAGACAGUUCGGUCCCUAUCCACUGCAGGCGUCAGAAUAUUGAAGGGAUCUGUCCUUAGUACGAGAGGACCGGGAUGGACGGACCAAUGAUGUACCGGUUGUCACGCCAGUGGCACGGCCGGGUAGUCACGUCCGGAAGGGAUAACCGCUGAAAGCAUCUAAGCGGGAAGCCCACCCUGAGAUGAAUGUUCUUUCAAGCAUCCGCCGAGAACAGGCGGUGAUAGGCCGGGGGUGCAAGCAUGGUGACAUGUUCAGCUGACCGGUACUAAUAAUGCGUAGGCUUACUUCAA